CCCGCCACCACCCCCCCUCUUCGGAGGACUAAUUAAGCUUUAUUUGUAUUAAAUAUUUGUUCAUAUUUUUAGGUUUUAGUGUUGUUGUGGACAGAACACAGCAACAGUUAUAAUCUGGUACUGGUUUCACAAGGAUCCAGAAGCACAGCCUAACACUAUGUUCAUGGUCCAUUGUCUCAACCACCAAGUACGCAGACCUAUUUAGCAUUAGAUAAAGAUAAUUUUAAAAAGCCAGAUCAUAAAAUAAUAAAUAUUUAAGAGCAGUUUCUUAGGGUUUUAGUGUUGUUGUGAGCAGAACAUGGCAAUUUGUGAAAGAACUAUUAAAAAUCAUAAUAUAAAUAUUUAGGAUCAUAUUUUUAGGUUUUAGUGUUGUUGUGGACAGAACACACUAAUUAGUAAAAGUACUGUUAAAGAUCAUAAUAUAAAUAUUUAAAUUCAUAUUUUUAGGUUUUAGUGUUGUUGUGGACAGAACACAGCAACAGUUAUAGUCUGGUACUGGUUUCACAAGGAUCCAGAAGCACAG